GUUGGAUGCUCUGGGGACAUAUUUUACAGGAGAAGAAACUGAUACACAGACAUGUGAUUUCUAUCAGUCUGGAUCAAACUUCUGAUGGAGCCCGGGCCCCUCUUCAGGUCCUGCCUUCCUGUCAUUUUGUGACUGGGUCUUUGCUGGAUUCCCUACAUGACUCGCCUCCAGCCUUCUUUCCAGUGAUAGCUCCGGCUUAUAGAAAUGCGCGUAUCUAGCCCUGGUCUGUGCUAAUGGUCUGCCCCUGUUCACGGAUGCAGAGGCCCAGAAUCACAACAAGAAGAAACUUUGAAGCCACUGAGUCCAUGGUUGCCCUAAUAACCCAAUACUGGGUCUGUCUCAGGUGAUGGCCUCUCCUUCCUAGAGGGACUUAUUCUAUGUGACUACUGCAUUUAGUGACUAAGGACACAGAGGGGCGCCUACAAAGCAGAAAAUCAGCAACUAGAAUCAAGUUCCCAGCAGGCUGCCGAUGGGACGGCUUAUGUCAGACGUUUGACAGCACCCUUGCUCUUCCGGAAAGUUGGGUCCUGAUUUUUAUGUCUCUUUGGUUGAUUCCCUUAACUCCAUCUGGACUCUGGAUUUCUGUCCCUUCAGCCUUCUUCUAGCGUGUGUGUGUGUGUGUGUGUGUGUGUGUGUGUGUGUGUAUGUGUGUGUGUGUAUUAUGAGACACAUGUAGACAACUUAGAAUUGACUUGGCUUUUGAGUAUGUCUAGAUGUUGGGAUCCAGUGGAAGGUGAUGGUUUCUGAGCCAUCCCUGGUCCCUGGCUGACUCAGGUUAGGGCCUGAUCCCCGAAAUACAGCUGGAAAGGAUAUCCAUGGUGGACUUUUUUGACUUCAAGUCUCUUGCUCCUGAAGUGUGACAUAGGGUCUCAUCUGCCUUUCUGGGGCCCACUUCUGUGAAAUUCAGGGCCUGAAGUUCGGUUAGAUGGAUGCCGAAGCAAUCUUAGCAGAACAAAGAUCAAAGUUCACUCCUUUCUGAGGGUUUAGCCCAGAUGGUGUUUCAAGACAGCAAUUGAUUAUACACAUCAAGAAAGGCUGGUGUAGAAAGCCAACACGGCCACUGAUUGGCUGGCCAAGGUUACUGGGAGCAAAGAAGAUGGAAGGGAGGGAGGCAAGUGUCUAGGAGGAAGGAUCCCAGGGUGGACCCUUAUCACUGACAGCUGACUUCCUUCUCGGCUUAGUGCUAGAGGCCCAAAUCAGUUAUCUCAGCUACAGGGCACAUUUUCUUGUAAGAGCAGAGGACAAGAUGUCUUAAUGUGUAUCACUAUGAAGUUUGGGGGACAUGACAGGAAGCGAGGGGUUCACACAGCCAGAGUGAAAGCUUGAUCUAUAUGAGGCAGGUGAUUUACAGGAGGAGAGAGGCGCAGGCGUGUUCUCGUGGCUUUUCCAUCUCCAGCUGAAUCGCACCCCUGAGCCCUCUGUGUCAGCUGUUGAUUCUAAUGAAUAACACUGGUGAGAAUACUGUAGUAAUGUUAGCUCUGAGUUCCUCCAGUACAAGACCCCAAAUUAAAGCCCAAUAUUGUGUCAUCUUGUGAAAUAGCAAGGACCUCAAAGGUCCUUACUUAAAUUCCCCUCUCCAAGUUAGCAAGUAGCUCUGUCCAACAUUAUUUUUCAAGAGUUCAGGUUUAUUUGUGUGUGUGUAGUGCAUGCAUGCGUGUGUGUGUGUGUGUGUGUGUGUGUGUGUGUGUGUCUAGAAGCUGAUGUUGGGUAUCUUCUUCAAUUACUCUCUGUUUUACCUUUUGAGGUAGGGUCUCUCCCUGAACUCGUCAAUUCGACCAGGUUGACCAGUAAGCCUCCUGUCUCUUCUUCUCAGCAUUGGAGUGCCAGGUGGAUGUUGCUAUGCCCGGUCUUUUAUGUGGGUUCUGGGGAUUGAACUCGGGUCCUCAUGCUUGCAUGGCAAGAACUUUGCUGACUGAGCCAUCCUUCUAUCACUUAGGCUCAGCUUUGUCUGAUUUCUGUUUGAUAAUUGUUAUCUAGUUGGUGGAAGGAGAAAAAUGCAAAAUCAACAAGAUUCUGAAUUUCUUUGUGAACAGGUGAGAGAACGAUGCUCACAUCAUGUCUGUACGCCUCAUCACUAGAGCCUGGGGCAUCCACAGCCUUAAGGGAGGCGAGAGACACAGUCUUUGGCAGGAUGGGCACUUAGAAUUACAAACAUGAUAUUUUAGUUGUUUUUCUCUUGUUGUGAUAAAAAACCAUGGCCAAAGCAACUUAUUUUAAGAAAGCAUUUAAUUUGGAACUUAAGGGUUCCAGAGGGUUAGAGUCCACAAGGGUAGAGCAAAGACAUGGUGGCGGUAGCAGCUCAGAUCUUAUCGCUUGAUCCCCAAUUACCAAUCAGAAAGAGAGAGGCACACUGAGCAUAGUGGGAGGUUUUUGAAACUUCAAAGACCACCCUUGCUGGAUACACCUCCUUCAGCAAGAACACACCCCUUAAUUCUUCCCAAACAGUUCCACCAACUGGGGGCCAAGUAUCCAGAUUUGUGAGCCUAAGGUCGCUGUUUUCUGCAUACAUGAGUACUACAUCCCGCUCAAUAUACUUUUUAAAAUUAAAGUAAAAUGAAGCAGGUGGUAUACAUUUUAAUAUUUUAUCUUUGCUGAAUAUAUAUGUAAAAAUCAUUUCAAUACACAAAAUCACUAAUGAGACAUUUUAUACUUAUUUUUAUAUCGCCUUUUAAAUCCUGUGGGUUAAUUUGUAUUUCCUCUAAAUCUCUCUCACCAUCUGCAUUUCAAAUCCUUAGCUAUCAAAUGUGACUUGAGGCUGUGAAUUGAUCAACACAGUUCUGUGUCAUCUCUCGGAAGGUUACCAGGGGCACCAAACUACAUUUGCUGGUGGUCGGCACCUA